rnacentral:misc_RNA from 1 species
UGAAAUUGUCAUGUGCAUGUUAUUUGAUAUUUAAUUAUUGGCAGAACAAGUUUGGCAAUGACGCUGCAAACUGCACAGGAUCCACAGAAGAACUAUAUCAAGCCCUUUUGCUAAUCCUUUGGAGUGUUGGGAUAAUAGAAAGAACAAGAUUCUUCAACCAUCAGAUUCCAAUCCCAAUUACUUCUUAUGAUUUACAGAGGAGCCAAAAUAUCCUGAUUUCCAGCAUAAAGAUACUGGAGAGGCUUUAUG